UAUAUUUACUGUUAAUUCACAUAGAAAUAUGAAUCUAAUAUUUAUUUAAUAAGAAGUCCAUAUUUUCCUCCUGUUUCUCAUACUGUUAUCAUAGAAGAGUAACUCUGCCUGGAAUGCCAUUAUAACAGCUAGUAAAAUCCUGUGAAGUAAAGGAAAAAUAAAAAAAUAGAAGAGGAAGGAAUAUCCAAUAGAAUUAGUCUGACAACAAAAUAAAAUACACUGAAUCAACAUUCAAAGAAUGACUGAGCUAGUAUACUCCUGCUUUUAAGCUUUUCUUCAGAUUGACUGAAGCAUGUAUCUUGGGAAUGCACAAAACUGGAGACUUGUUCUACCAUUCUUGCUUGGAAAAAAAUGACUUUGAAGCAAAGGGAAAAGAGACAGAACUAACAGCCUGGGGAAAAUAAAUAAACAAAUAAAUAAAUAACUGUGCAAAAACUGAUUUAUGAUAUCCAGAAUCUUACUGUAUUAUCUCUUGAACAAACACCAAUAGCAGACAAAUCUAAACCUAAAAGAAGGUGUAAGAACUCUAGCAACUGAUCCUGAUUACUGGCAUUGAUUAGCCUAAGCAUCCAUUUAACAAACCUAUUAGAUUUUCAGAAAGAUGCUAUUAGCAGCAAAAUGUCUAGUAGAAUUUUAAAAUGUGGAGGUGCUUAAUAAUUUGAGAAUUUUUCUAACCCAGAACAAAAGGUUUUAAACUCAGCACAGUAAUUCCAUGUAUUUCUUACAUUACAGCCCAGAAUACCAAAUCUGCAGUCCACCAAGAGAAACUACUCCUUUGCAGUAGCAGUCCAAUGGAGGAGAUUAAAGAAGCACUUAAGAAGGACAACCUAGAAGAAGAGCCAGCGGCUAUUUGCUUUGUAACAAGAUUCAGUGAAAAGAGGAGUAUAGCAUUUCUGUGCAUAUGCUUACAAUUUUUGUUGUUGUUGUUGAUAAUGUUACUGUCUAGCAAGGAUAACAUUCUCUGAAUGUUCUUACUCCUCUUUACCAGCAGGACUCAGUACUGCUGAAGGCAAAUAAAAUAUUAGGCUUUUAUUGAUCUUUUUAUAUUCAUAAAUGCAGUCAUACAUUUUGAAUGAUUAGUUACCCCCAUUAAAAAGAGUAAAACUAACAAUCAUUGACACCCCUAAUCAGAAUAUCUCUAUCACAGCCCCACAAAGUUGAGGAAGUGUAAGGAGUGUAAUGAAUAUUAUUUUAGUUACAUCAUGAAAGAGAAAUGUGUUCUUACUCAGAAGAUUACAUAUCCGUCAUAAUGCUUCGAUCAGUCUUGCAGUGUGACACUUUCUGCCUACCCAGAAUAAAGAAUCUAAAUGUCAUGAAAACCACACAACACAGAGCUGCUGGAACAAACCAAGCCAAACCCCAAACCACAAAGCCACAAAGAGCAACCAAAAUAUCAGCAGCAGAACAGAGAUCUCAUCAGACGUAUAAUGUCCCUGCUUCUCAUGUUAAUGCACACAAAGCUGGCCACAACAGCACCAUUCUUCCAGUGAGGAACAUCUCUGCACUGAUUAUAUGUGAGCAAGAGUGGCAUUUGCUGUAUUUUUUUAAUCAUUUUCUGUAAUCUUUUUUUUUAAAAAAAAUAAAAUUGUACAGAUUUAAGGUC